UACGAGAGGCCCAAACGUUAUUCGGAAUUACUGGGCUUAAAGAGUUCGUAGGCGGCGCAGAAAGUAGGGUGUGAAAGCCCUCGGCUCAACCGAGGAAUUGCGCUCUAAACUACUGUGCUUGAGGAAUCUAGAGGUGAGCGGAACUGAUGGUGGAGCGGUGAAAUGCGUUGAUAUCAUCAGGAACACCGGAGGCGAAGGCGGCUCACUGGGUCCUUUCUGACGCUGAGGGACGAAAGCUAGGGGAGCGAACAGG
rnacentral:rRNA from 1 species